AUCCUGCUGUAUAGCUCUGGCUUGUGGCCAUCUGAUAAUUAAAACAACAAAAUAAAGAGGGGCUUAAAAUUGGCAUCACAGUAUAUUUUCCUGCAGUUGGGGGUCAAUUUCUAAGAGCGAAAUGAGAUCGGGAUUCCACAAGACAUUAGUUACGAUACUUCGAAACCCUUGACGACUCACCCUCUAUUCCUAGGUAGAAUUCGCCGAUGCCCUAAAGUAACAUCAGUCUCAGAAAAAAUUUUGCUCUGCUGAACACUUGUUCAACGAUUUUAAAAGCUUUAGGCAUUUGAUUCUCAUUGAGCACCAGU